rnacentral:snoRNA from 1 species
AGCACUAUUUUUAAACCUGUGGAUGGGAUUUCCCUCCACCAUAGGUUACGCUGUAGUGCAAAAUUAAUUCCUUGGCACUCUUCUGAGCACAGCUGACCUUGUGCCAUUUGGUUGAUGCUACUCUAAGCUAAGGAACAGAA